UUGAUGGGAGCCAACGCUAAUGCACCGGAUCCCAUCAGCACUCCCAAGUUAAGCGUGCUUAUGCUAGAGUACUACUAUGAUGGGUGACCUCCUCGGAAGUCCUCGUGUUGCACCCC
rnacentral:rRNA from 1 species